UGGGGAAUAUUGCACAAUGGGCGAAAGCCUGAUGCAGCAACGCCGCGUGAGUGAUGAAGGUCUUCGGAUUGUAAAGCUCUGUCUUUUGGGACGAUAAUGACGGUACCAAAGGAGGAAGCCACGGCUAACUACGUGCCAGCAGCCGCGGUAAUACGUAGGUGGCGAGCGUUGUCCGGAUUUACUGGGCGUAAAGGGUGCGUAGGCGGAUGUUUAAGUGAGAUGUGAAAUACCCGGGCUUAACUUGGGUGCUGCAUUUCAAACUGGAUAUCUAGAGUGCAGGAGAGGAGAAUGGAAUUCCUAGUGUAGCGGUGAAAUGCGUAGAGAUUAGGAAGAACACCAGUGGCGAAGGCGAUUCUCUGGACUGUAACUGACGCUGAGGCACGAAAGCGUGGGUAGCAAACAGGAUUAGAUACCCUGGUAGUCCACGCCGUAAACGAUGAGUACUAGGUGUAGGAGGUAUCGACCCCUUCCGUGCCGCAGUAAACACAUUAAGUACUCCGCCUGGGAAGUACGAUCGCAAGAUUAAAACUC
rnacentral:rRNA from 1 species